GGUGAGUAACACGUAGGUAAUGUACCUUUGGGUGGGGAAUAACUUAGGGAAACUUAAGCUAAUACCGCAUAAUGCAGCGGCUCCUUCGGGAGACAGUUGUUAAAGAUUUAUCGCCUAAAGAGCAGCCUGCGGCAGAUUAGCUAGUUGGUAAGGUAACGGCUUACCAAGGCUACGAUCUGUAUCCGACCUGAGAGGGUGGUCGGACACACUGACACUGAAUAACGGGUCAGACUCCUACGGGAGGCAGCAGUCGGGAAUUUUGGGCAAUGGGCGAAAGCCUGACCCAGCAACGCCGCGCGAAGGAUGAAGUCUUUCGGGAUGUAAACUUCGUAAGAAUAGGAAGAAUAAAUGACGGUACUAUUUGUAAGGUCCGGCUAACUACGUGCCAGCAGCCGCGGUAAUACGUAGGGACCAAGCGUUGUUCGGAUUUACUGGGCGUAAAGGGCGCGUAGGCGGCGUGACAAGUCAAUUGUGAAAUCUCCGGGCUUAACUCGGAACGGUCAGUUGAUACUGUUGUGCUAGAGUACAGAAGGGGCAAUCGGAAUUCUUGGUGUAGCGGUGAAAUGCGUAGAUAUCAAGAGGAACACCAGAGGUGAAGACGGGUUGCUGGGCUGAUACUGACGCUGAGGCGCGAAAGCUAGGGUAGCAAACGGGAUUAGAUACCCCGGUAGUCCUAGCCCUAAACGAUGAAUACUUGGUGUCUGGAGUUUUAAUUCUCCGGGUGCCGUCGCUAACGUUUUUAGUAUUCCGCCUGGGGAGUACGCACGCAAGUGUGAAACUCAAAGGAAUUGACGGGGACCCGCACAAGCGGUGGAGCAUGUGGUUUAAUUCGACGCAACGCGAAGAACCUUACCUGAACUAGAAUGCGAGGGAAGAUUGGUUAAUGCCAAUCGUCGGGCAACCGACCCAAAGCAAGGUGCUGCAUGGCUGUCG
rnacentral:rRNA from 1 species